rnacentral:rRNA from 1 species
UACGAAGGGGGCUAGCGUUGCUCGGAAUCACUGGGCGUAAAGCGCACGUAGGCGGCUUUUUAAGUCAGGGGUGAAAUCCUGGAGCUCAACUCCAGAACUGCCUUUGAUACUGAGAAGCUUGAGUCCGGGAGAGGUGAGUGGAACUGCGAGUGUAGAGGCGAAAUUCGUAGAUAUUCGCAAGAACACCAGUGGCGAAGGCGGCUCACUGGCCCGGUACUGACGCUGAGGUGCGAAAGCGUGGGGAGCAAACAGG